UUUGAACGCUGGCGGCAUGCUUUACACAUGCAAGUCGAGCGGCAGCGCGGGGGCAACCCUGGCGGCGAGCGGCGAACGGGUGAGUAAUGCAUCGGAACGUAUCCUCGAGUGGGGGAUAACCCAGCGAAAGUUGGGCUAAUACCGCAUGAGCUCUGAGGAGGAAAGCGGGGGACCUGCGAGGGCCUCGCGCUGGGGGAGCGGCCGAUGUCCGAUUAGCUAGUUGGUGGGGUAAAGGCUUACCAAGGCGACGAUCGGUAGCUGGUCUGAGAGGAUGAUCAGCCACACUGGAACUGAGACACGGCCCAGACUCCUACGGGAGGCAGCAGUGGGGAAUUUUGGACAAUGGGGGCAACCCUGAUCCAGCCAUGCCGCGUGAGUGAAGAAGGCCUUCGGGUUGUAAAGCUCUGUCGGACGGAACGAAAUGAGGGGGACUAAUACUCCUGUCUGAUGACGGUACCGAAAGAAGAAGCACCGGCUAACUACGUG
rnacentral:rRNA from 1 species